rnacentral:lncRNA from 1 species
ACUAGAGAGAGCGUCUUGUGGCUGCGGCCUGCCCCUCAGCCUCCUCCGCGCGGUUACCCCUGUACCCGCCGCCAUCCGUCCUGGCGCUCCGGAUGAGUCAAUGAGGGGCAGGGCCCGAGGAGUGGUCUUCCCAAGAACCCCUGGUGGCCUCCCAAGGCCGGUGCUGUGCCUCGUGGGCUGUGCGGCUAUCCUGGAGACAGAUGACAGCUCUCCCUUGGAUGGCUUUGCUGGUUCCGCACCAGCCAGCGCCCCCAUUUUUCCUGCAGCACCCUGAUCUGCACUCCCUGAGGGGCUCCCACUGUCCGCGGUGUGAGGAUGUCCCUGGAUAGUCCACUGUGUGCAGAGGCAUGGGAGUUGUCAUGUUGGGAACAUGCUAGACCUCAGUAUCCUUGAGGGAUGCUGCCUUGGGUCUGGAAACUGUUAGAGGAAACCCCAAGAGGUGCAGGCACUGAGCCUCUCAGGACAAUGACCUGGGGUCCCAGCUCCCCUGGAGGGGCCUCCUCAUGAUUGUUUGGGGGUUGAUCACAGACCAAGAGUGACGAGUGAUGUCACCCUGUGACUCAUGGCUGGACCUUCUUGCCCCUAUUGUCUCAGCACAACAUUAUUCGACUUUUCCCUCAGCGUGGGUGGGCAGAGGAAAAGCCCUGUGGCUCUGGGGACUUGGGAUCCAGAGUUGAAGACCCUUCAGCUGGCUCUGCCCUGCCAGUGCCACAGAGUGCCAUGGCCCAGGAAGACAGGUUUUCUUCCAUCUAGGCCAGGCCAUCCAGUGGCCAUCCUCCGUGUCCUCCCGCCUCCUCCUGGUGUGACUUCUGAAAACCAAGAAUUUGUUCCUGUUGACUUUUUCUGUGCUAUGGACCAUUGUCCUCUCACCCACUCAAUAAAUCUUGAAACAU